UAAAAAGGGUGUGAAGAAUAAAUGCAGCAUGUGUGGUGCAACAGGACAUGAUAAGAGAUUUCAUGGGCAGGACAAUACAAACAUGUCAGCAAGAACAUCACUGGCACAAGGUUUUGUGGCUGAGAACCACCAUUACCAGAAUUUGAUUUAAACACACGGCAUGUCAGCAAUGACCUAAAUG